ensembl:snRNA U6 U6 spliceosomal RNA
GUGCUCACUUUGGCAGCUCAUGUAGUGAAACUGGAACGAGACAGAGAAGAUUAGCAUGGCUCAUGCAAGGAUGACACACAAAUUCAUGAAGUGUUCGGUGUUUAA